GGUGAUGAAGUGUUUCGGUGUAGGGAGGAAUGGUUUAGGUUUUGUGGGCGUAGGGUGAAGUAUUAUUUAGGUUGUAGGGUGAAUUGUUUAGGGUGUAGGGUGAAGUGUUUAGGGUGUAGGGUGAAGUGUUUAGGGUUGUAGGGUGAAGUGUUUUCGGGUGUAGAGUAGGGCGUGUAGGGUGAAGUGUUAGGAGGUUAGGGUGA
rnacentral:lncRNA from 1 species